UACUAAACAUUGUUGAAUCGCAAUGCAUACUCAAUCCAGUUAUCGAUGUACUCGCGUGUCCAACAACUCAAACACGAGGAAACUGGAAUUAAUGAAAAUAUCCUAGUUGAUGAGGAGCUCACAAGAAGUUAUAUAGCUCUGUGGUAUCCUCGAGCUACAAGGAAUAAUACUCGGAGGUAGAUCAACAUUAAGGCUUGGACCGAUGUAUUGACC
rnacentral:lncRNA from 1 species